CUGCCUCCAGGCUCCAGCCAAGAAUCGAAGGUGGGUGAAUCUUUCUUAUUUUUGUUUCAUUUUAUUCUUUAGUGCAAUUUUAGACCAUCUUUGGUGAGGAUUAACAUCAAAUUAUUUUUAAUAAAUUUUGAAAAAAAUUAAUAAAAUGUGUGAUUAAAACAUUGUGAGUAUUAGUUAAAAUUAAUCGUUAUCUUUGAUUUAAAUUAAAAUUUAGAUUUUAGUCGCUAUUAAACAUUGACCUCGAAGGGACGCUUCUUCGGAGUGAGCUUAUUCUUGGUCUCAAGGGCAGCUCUUCAAAUGGUCAAUAAUCAUGAAUAGCAGCUGUGGUAACUGAUGAUUGAUGCAGGCUUGUCAUACAUAAGGGAGUAAACUCACUUCUCUGUAAAGGUUAUUUGGUGAUUAACAAAAUAGGGGUAUCUUUUAUGGAUGCCCUUGUUUGGCAAGUCAAGAUUAAUAAUUAAUUAUAAAAACACAUUCUAUGGGACUCAUAAUUCUUCAAUCAUACAUUUCAUAACUUAUAUCAAAAUCUAUUAAAAAUUUGAAUUUUAUUUACGCCAAACAAGGGCUAAGUAUGAAUGAUGAAUACUUACAACAUUUACUUCCCGCUUGGUAAAGAUUUUUUAUAAUAAAUAAUGUGAAAAGUGAUUUAUUUUUUUUAUUUUUUUAUGGGGUUAAAAUGUAAGAAAAAGUUAAGAAUCAAAAUGCAAAAUUAUUAUAUUGAUAGAUUGUGUAAUUAAAAAUAUUGAAGAGUCAAGGCUUAAUCUUUUGUUCUUCAAGUUUUCAAAUUUAAAUGUUUACAAGUUACAAUUUUUAUUUUAUUAUUGCUGAAAUUUUAAUGUCACUGCUCCCUUGCAUAUAAUUAAAAUUAAAGCAUUAUAGGAAAGUCGUCGCACUUCUUUAAUUGAUUUUGAUUGCUUUACAAAGAAAUAUCAUUAUUUUCAAGUUGAAGAAUACUCCCACCCUCCCAUGAUUAUCUCUUAUAAUCCCUAAUUUCACGCGCUUCCACUGCAUUGACACCUUCAGGAAAGUCGAAAACUGCCCAACCUAUAAAUUACGUAUUAAGGUUUAAGGUUCGAAAUUGGGAUGAAAUGGGGAAAUAUAAUUUGUGAUUUAUUUGGAUAUGAGCUCUCAUUGUGGAGAUGCGAGGAUUUGAGUAGAGUGUACCUCCACUAGAUCAUUUAAAAUUAAAAAGGGCAUUUUGGUCCUGUCACGGUUUUGUUUUCUUCCAAUAUAAUAAUAUAUUUAUAUACACAUACAUAUAAUCAUCUUCCUCACACCACCCACCUCCAACCGAUUGUGGAUGAGCUUAUUGAAAUGGUAAUAUAUGGACACCGCUGUUAAUAUUUGAGUACAACUCAGGUAUUGAACAGGUUCAUUAAGGUCUCUUUGAACUAUAUUCUAAAUUAUUGAAUUAUAAUAGGUAAAUAACUUCAUCCAAAAUUAUGCCUUCAAAGUUCAAACAUAGGAAAUUAUCUAAAUAACCUAUUUGGAUUUGCCCUUUCCCUUGCCCUGACCUUUCUUUGCUUCAAGCUUGGCUUGAAUCUGAGCAGUAGCCACUGCCUUUGCUUCUUCCGUUUUCUUCUUCUCUUCUUCUUUCACAGUAUCCGCAAGUUCCAUUGUCAACGGCAUAAAACCACUACUACUUAAGCAUUGGUCCAGUGAAAGCAGGCUGGACUUUCCUGUGUUAAGCCCAAAGUCCAGUGCAUGCACCGGCCUCUAUGUAGUCUCUGUAAAUGUUUCUCGGAUUUCUUUUCGAUGCUAAAAUGGAGCAAAAGUAUUUCAUUCUUUUACUACUUUACAUAUGGCAAGAAAGACUUCGUUUAUAAAUUAUAAUUGAAUUAUUAUUUUGUCUUGGAUUCAAACCAAAAAAAUUAUCUUGUGAAAGUUAUAAGAGGCGGCAUUUAUUUACUUGAGCAGUGCUACAGAAUACAGUUCACUAAAGUUCCUUAUUUGCUCCAUUUGACGUCAGAUUAGAGUUACAUGUCUUCAUUUUUGUAGUUGUUUGAGAAUUGUCGCAUGUAUAUUGGGAAAAGGGAAUUGUCCUUAAAUUACUUUUUAGUAAAUUUUUAUUGAGAAUCACUUGGUUAGAGAAAUGUAUCAGGAAAGAAAUCCUCUUUCUUACAUGUAUAUCUGACUAUUGUUUUGGUGAUUCUAAUUUGGAAGUAUUGUGUCCAGGUCUUGGAUCUUGGUAUAUUCCCCAGACCAGAAUUUUAUCUACCUACUAGCAUGAACAUCAUUGUACUGUAAGUUCUCAGGUUUCCUUUCUUUGAUUUUCAGAGUCGUCUCUUUUGAGUCCAGAAAUAGAUAGAAACUGUUUUUAUAACUGGUUGAUAGCUAUAAACUGGUCAAAGAUCAAUAUAUGUGUACUUCAUAAACAAUUAAUCUUCAAUAGUUAAUUGAUUAUCGAGUGCUGAUAAUCUAUAUUCAUAUCAAAUAUCUUUGUUAAUCUCAUUGAAUUUUCUAUGCAUAUUGGGGCAUAAAAUAUCUGAAAUGUUUAACUAUUUGGAGGACCUUAACUAGUAACACGAUGUCAUCAAUCAGAAGGGUUACAAGGAGAAUUCCUCUUGGCCUGAAGUAUGCUGAGGCGAUCAAAUUUAACUUGUUACACUUCAAAUUUGACUUUCAAAGAUUUCUACAUGUAUUUAUUUGCCCAAUCUGAAAUCAUUUUAUGGUGACGUAACACAGAUUUCAUGGGCCAAGUUCUCUCCAAGCGAAUCUAAGCAUAGUGCUUUAUAUUGUGCCUUCAAGGAAUGUCUCAAGCUAUGCAUGAAAACUCGUGUCUAGAAUUAAAAAGGGACAGCCUUUCAAAUUACAUGCCAUUUAUUCAUUUAAAUCUAUAGACACAUAAACCUUAUCGGAGCCCAUUUCAGGUGAACGUGAACUUCAGAACUUAAAGAUAUGUUUGGCUAAGCUUAAAAUGUUUACUUAUAAAAUGAAUAAGCAAGUCUCACAAUAAAUAAUAUUUUUUACUGGUAAUAGUUGGAAGUAGUUACUUAUUUUACAGUAAGUUAAUAAUUACUUUCAGAUUAAGCAACUUUUUUACUUUGAGAGUUAAGAGUAAGAAAAAUAGGUUACAUCUUUAAGCCUGUUUGGAAACUAAAAGCUACUUAAAAGUACUUAUCUAAGCUUAGCCAAACAUGCUCUUUCAUUUACUGUGGUUAUGACUUUCUGGUUGCAUUUGUAGGUGAGGCUCGAGCUGGUGGACCAAGCAACAAAGGAGACCAGAUUCCCACAAAUUAUGUGCAAUCUCCAAGCACAGCAUAGGUAUCUGACAUGGAGACAGAAAAGAGAGGUAACAUUGUGCUUUCUCACAUAUGUCAAGUUAUUGUAUUUAUUUCCCCCAUCUUUGUGUACUGUAGUCGUGAAUCUUGUUUGCUAAUGGAUAUGUUAGAUUUAUCUUCUUAAUUCAUGAUGAACUUAUUACGAGUCAUUAGUGAAUAAAAAGCAACUGCAAUCCGCACUAGUUACACGGUGGCGGUUAAAGUGCCGUGUAAACAUUCUCAGAUCACGGGGAAAUGGUUCAAUUAACACUUUGGUGCACUUUAUUUUAUUAUUAUCAUUGUUGUUGUUGUUAUUAUUAUUAUUUUAUUUUUUUUGUGUAGAAAACAAAUGCUGCAUAUUCAUUAGUCUAUGAUGGUUAUAGCUGUAUAUACGAGUUUAUGUGUCUGUGACAUCCAGAGGUCCAAUUUGCAAUGUUCAUCUUAUCUGAAGUUUAUGAUGUAAUUUGAUUAGGUUCAUUAAAAAGACAAUUCAUGAAACAAAAAUUUAACAGAAGGCUGAUGGAAAACUCUGAAUAUCAGGAUCCAGGUUAUCAAGUUUUGACAAGACUAAUUAGGAGGACUCCUGCUUAGGUAUCUGUUUAGGGUUAUCGAGCAUCAUAUUUUAUAUUUCUUUAUGUAGUUGUUUCACAUUAUCAUUAUUUGGUAGGAACCAAUUAGAAACUUCCUCUUCAAUGGAGUUGACGAGCUUGGAACUUGGAAGCAAAACAUUUCUCAACUACUUUCCUGAGUAUAAGUGUGGGGAUGGGACUAUAAAUUGAAGGGCAGCAUGGUUGGAAAAUCAUUUGAAAGUUGACCCUGGGAUGGUAGAGGAGAAUUUUUUGGUGAUAAUUAAUUAAUCAUGGAUAGACGGCCUGCAUUUCAAAUCAUCUUCCUUCUUGCUGUCACCAUUAUUAUCCUCUUUUACCUGAUAUCUGAUAUGUAGAUUGCCUUGUCUGCAACAAACUCCUUCCAUCGUAUAAAUCUUGGUCUUCCAUUACAUGAAAGCAAUGCAGAAAUCUUGUGGAAGUUAGUUUGAGAGUAAGCUUAUGUGAUAUCUCAUAAGCUAUUCGAGUUCAGUUCCUCAUCCAUCCAACUAUGACAGUGCUAAAAGUUUUGUAAGUCUUGCAAGAACAUGGACCCCUCCAUUUUUAUUUCGCGAUUGAUUGAAGUUGUUGCUGGGUAGAGCUUCCUAUUUGUUAAAGAAUAAAGAUAUAGAAAGAUUAUCGUGAAUAGUCUGAAAAUUUUUCCUCAUACGUUGAUGUACAUUCUUAAUAGUUUGGUUCUCUUUUAGUUAUUUGUAAUUCCAUAAAUUCUCAGCGCUUAUCUGUUUGAACACAUAAAUUAUUAUGUGUUCAUAGUUUUAACCAUAUUGACCUAGCUGAAAAAUCCUGGUUUGACUUUUAGACUCUUCGAAUAAAUGUCAUUUCGGAUUUUAAAAUAUUUGAUACAUGUAGAAAGGCCGGUGGCCUACAAGGAACGUAAGAUUGCAC
rnacentral:lncRNA from 1 species